GUUUAUCUUGAAUUAUCUUACUAUAAAAAGGUGUCAAGAAGAAGUACUGCCACAGUUCUUAUUGACACACGUAGAAGACAACCACGACCUCAAGAUGAAAUUUUCUGUUGUUUUGUUGGUUUUGCUGCCAUUGGCCCUGGCCGCACCUAUGGAAAAGAGACUUUUCCUGGACGAUAUAUCUAAGUUUUUCGACAUCCCAACAUUGAAAGCUCACGUUCAAGCUAUUGCUAAUCAAGCCGGAAGUGACGCUACAGAAGCCCAAUGUGAAACUACCUGUCACAGUGUUCUUCCAGGAAAUGUUGUUGGAGCUGGAUGUCCCCUUAUCUGUAAAUCUUUUCAGAGUCUGGUCUCCAGGUUUCAAAUUGCAUAAGAAUUGAUUGUUUGUUUAACUGUCAGUGGUUGUCAAGGGUGCUCAUUUUAUGACAAUUUUCAAUUUCGUUUUAUGUAAGCAACAACCAAUAAACCAUUUUAUUUCUA